GAACGUGUGGCUCAGUGGUGACAGCUCUUUUACCGCUUCCAAGAGGCGUAGGUUCAAAUCCUACUACGUUCA
rnacentral:tRNA from 1 species